rnacentral:lncRNA from 1 species
UGAAAUCAGCCACCUGUCAAUCUGGAAAGCGUUUUCAUUGGUACAGAAGCUCUUAAUGAGAUAUGGCCUAAUAAUCAGUGGCUAUUAAUUACAAAGGUUACAGGCAUUACCACUUACACGAGAGGAACAACCCAGCCAACUAUCCAAGUGUUGUAUAAAAACAAACAGUCACCAAGUCCUUGACUUCUCACUCAGCUGGGCAGACUUUAUAGCUGCAGUCUUGGACUUCCAAGGCUCUGCUGCUGCCCUCCUUGUUUGCCUUCAUCUUCCCCCCUUCCAUCUGAGGGGAGGCAGUGCCAUGUUAUUUGGGUGUUAUCCACGGCCUGCAGCCGGGCGGGCAGGAGGCAGGGUGUCCACAGCUGAGCAAACAACUGCCAGGCUGCUCCCCAUGGCGUCCCGUGCGGCGGAAGAGGAAGCGCUGUCAAUCACUGCGCACAUGUGUACAGUGGGGAGCUGCCGAGGUUGUGAUGGGCGCACGUCAAUUGUCUUGGACUGCCAGAGUGAGCGAGGGUACUUCGUCCAGUGCAGAGGUGGCCAGGUGGGUUACCUGCAACAUCAGAGUGGGCAUGCAGAUGAAAAAUUCCAAAGUGACCAUCUGAAAGUGAAUGUUUUCACAGCAACCAACACCUUUACAAAUGACUUCAAAGUAGUCUGUUUCCUUUACAAAG